rnacentral:lncRNA from 1 species
CUGCAGUGCUAUGAGCUCCAGGUGGACCUCUUCCUAGAGGACACCUGGUUGUGAAAUUCAAACAUGAGGCCUUCCCAACAGUGGUCCCUCACCAGGCAGGGACCACCACGUGGAGAGGAGUCUCCGCAGGUUGAUGGCACCGGCAAUGAGGCAAGUGGACGCCGGCAGCGUGCUCUGAGGUCCCCUCCUCCUUCUGCUGUGUCCUGGCCCAAAAUAUAUCCGACAGAGCCAAGGAGGGGGACUGCUUUAAAAAACAAGUGUCUAGUUCUCUUCCAAGGUGCCAAGGCAAUGGCCUGCCACCGGAGGAGAGCGGCUCAAGACCGGAGGGACCCAAAGCACCUGCGGACAGCGAUGCCACACUUGAGGCGAAGGCGGCGCCUGGGAGGUUGGACUAAGCUCAGUCUCCCCCCUGUGGGUGCCCCUUCUGCGAACACCUGCAUGUGCAUGUUGCCACAGCUUUAGAAAUGGCAUUAACUCCAGGUGAGAUGGGUUAGGAACCAUUUCUGGGUGACAAGAGAAAGGGAUUAGGGGGCAUGUCUGAAACGCUCACAAAGAUGUGAAAAGUGGACUCGGGCUCCAUGUCUUUUUAUUUCAGAAUUUAAAAAGCUGAGAGUCGAAGCGGAGCCCAGAGGAAGAAAUGAAACCCAAAGUCGUUCCCUGAUCAAGAGGAGAAGGGCCGCUGCCAUGGCAUUAGUGACCUAGCAACUGGGAACGCUGGAGGAGCGGACAAUGGGCAGGAGGAUGUGGAAUCAGCGGAAGGCUGAGGACAGGACCUGGGACUCAAAGGCCAGGUUCACAGUGUGGCUGAGAACCCAGCUCUGUCCAUACUGAGGAGUCAGGUGCCGAGAGGAGAUGUCGGAUGGGGGACCUGAGAUCCAUGGCAAGUGUUCCUUGCCAAGCGGGCCUUCCUUUGCCCCAGACGCUCCUUCCUCUGGAGAUGGGUUAGUAGAGGUUCAACCUCCUUUGUUCUCUAUGUCUUUCUUGGGGUGGCUACAUAGACAACGUUCAUAAUUUUACCUUUUUAAACACACUGCUCAGUGGCAUUAGGGACAUUCACAAUGUCGCCCAGCCAGCAACACCAUCCAUCACCCUAAAGGGAAACCUUUGUCUCAGAUGAACACUAACUACCCAUGCCUCCCUCCUCUGGACCAGCGGCUACCUGUCCAUUCUUCCUUCCCUGGGCUAUGACUCUGACUGCUCGAGGUUCUGAAUAGAAGUGGGAGCAUAUGCUCUUUGUCUCUGUGUAAUGGGCUUAUUUCCCUCAGCAGAACUAGUCUUUAAGGCUCAUCCCUACUGCAGCCUGGGACAGAAUCUCCUUCCAUUCUAAGACUGAAAAGUACUCCACUGAACCGAGAGACCACACUUUGUCUAUCCCUUCAUCCAUGGAUGGAGAUUUGGGUGCUUCCAUGUCUCCCUCUCAGGAAUCAGGCUGAUAUGAGCAUGGGUGCACAAGAGUCUAUUC